rnacentral:other from 1 species
UAAUUUCUGCCUUGUACGUUCUAUACAGCUCAUAUAAUCCAACACUUUUACUUAGGGAAUUUUGCUCUGACUGCGGACUGCAGACCUCCUCAUUUCGGGACGAAGGGAGUAUGAAACUUUCAGGCUGAUACCCACCUGCUGAAUAAGCGGGUUUUAUAUGCUGUGUAAUACGGCAAGGCGGUAUAUAU